rnacentral:lncRNA from 1 species
UCAGAUUGGAUCUAUUUCAUAUAAGCAAAAAUCUCAAGCCCAGUAUCUCAACUGAUCUUAUUGUAUACCUGUAUCUCGACCUCAACUAAGCAAACCUCUUACCAAGCUAUGGGAAGUGAACGACCUAACAUGGACGCAGAUGCGACAAGAGGUCGAAUACCUCGUUGGCAGCAAAUCUCAUCUCUUCGACCUCAGACGAUCUAUUUUAGGUUGUCCUCGGUCGACCAAUCCCUGUAACC